rnacentral:rRNA from 1 species
AUUGAACGCUGGCGGCAGGCCUAACACAUGCAAGUCGAGCGAGCGGCGGACGGGUGAGUAAUAUCUGUGAAACUGCCUGAUGGAGGGGGAUAACUACUGGAAACGGUAGCUCAUACCGCAUCCCAUCAGAUGUGCCCAGAUGGGAUAAGCUGGUAGGUGGGGUAACGGCUCACCUGGGCGACGGUCCCUAGCUGGUCUGAGAGGAUGACCAGCCACACGGGAACUGAGACACGUUCCGGACUCCUACGGGAGGAAGCGUUGGGGAAUAUUGCACAAUGGGCGCAAGCCGGAUGCAGCCAGGCCGCGUGUGUGAAGAAGGCCUUCGGGUUGUAAAGCACUUUCAGCGGGGAGGCGUUACCCGCAGAAGAAGCACCGGCUAACUCCGUGCCAGCAGCCGCGGUAAUUC